AUCUCCCCUCCCCCCAGCCCCAAAAACAAAAUCAUUAGUCCUUGAAAUCUGUUAGAGGACAAAGCAAUUACUAAUAUAAUAAUUGCAAAAAGUAUUAUAUUUCCAAUUUGUAUUAAAGUUGAGGCACUAUGUUUGUUCUAUAUAAACUCUUGAAUGUCCUGUUUUUAUGCUGAAACUAACAUAGACAGAUAGCCUGAAAUAGAAAUAUAUGCAUAUCUGGGUCUUAUAUAAUCUUACUUGCUGUGAUUAAUUAACACUGGCCUGCUUGCAUGGACCAAUUUACAUUUAAUAGAUAUAUUGUCUUGUAGACAUAGUUCCACAUCAUCAUUUUAUAGGAUAGCAUUUUAAUUUUCUAACAACACUAAGUCUUCAUUGUUAUUAGCACCACUGUUUCUAAGUAUAUUUCCCAUUUCAAUACGUGGUUAGUGAUUCAUUGUUAUUUCUCAAAAACAGAUUUUGGAUGAAUACAACCGUCUUCUAACAUCUCAGUUGGAAACUCAAAGACAAUAUUCUGAAUCUUUGCUGGCAGAGGCAAAAAGCAAAGUGGACAGUUCUGUCUCUGAAGCAGUGGAGAAAGCUGUAACUUCUGGAUUGCAGGACACCGAAGAUAAAUUGGAAAAGUGUAUAGAAGAGAGAAAUGGUGUUGCUGAGGUGAGGAAGGAAGUUUGAGGGCUAAAGGAAGGAGGAACAGCAAGGGUUUAAGUUGUAUUGUUCCUGUAUUUUUCUUUAGUUUUUCGUUUUGGAAUUUGAACUCCAGAUUUAUUUUGUAUGUGAGUAUUAGUUUUCUAAUGUAUAAAAUAAUUAUAGCAAAAAUUAUAUGUCACUAAUAACUGCUUGAUUUGUCUUGUAAUAAAAAUUGUAUAUUAUAUUU